rnacentral:rRNA from 1 species
GGACCCGCACAAGCGGUGGAGCAUGUGGUUUAAUUCGAUGCAACGCGAAGAACCUUACCUACUCUUGACAUCCAGAGAAGCCAGCGGAGACGCAGGUGUGCCUUCGGGAGCUCUGAGACAGGUGCUGCAUGGCUGUCGUCAGCUCGUGUUGUGAAAUGUUGGUUAAGUCCCGCAACGAGCGCAACCCUUAUCCUUGUUUGCAGCACGAAUGGUGGGAACUCCAGGGAGACUGCCGGUGAUAAACCGGAGGAAGGUGGGGACGACGUCAAGUCAUCAUGGCCCUUACGAGUAGGGCUACACACGUGCUACAAUGGCGCAUACAGAGGGCAGCAAGCUAGCGAUAGUGAG